GUCUAAGUGCUGAAAUUUGGUAGACAGAGGUUGCUUAAGCCAACCUGGGUAGUACCCAUGAGUGUUCAAGUCACUCCUUAGAUA